rnacentral:rRNA from 1 species
UGCGCAGGCGGGCUAAUAAGUCAGUGGUGAAAUCUUUCGGCUUAACCGGGAAACUGCCAUUGAUACUGUUAGUCUUGAGUUCGGUUGAGGUAGGCGGAAUGUGUAAUGUAGCGGUGAAAUGCUUAGAUAUUACACAGAACACCAAUUGCGUAGGCAGCUUACUAGACCGACACUGACGCUGAGGCACGAAAGCGUGGGGAGCGAACAGGAUUAGAUACCCUGGUAGUC